rnacentral:rRNA from 1 species
AGUGAACGCUGGCGGCAGGCCUAACACAUGCAAGUCGAGCGGCAGCGCGGGGGCAACCCUGGCGGCGAGCGGCGGACGGGUGAGGAAUUCGUCGGAAUCUGCCUUUUUGUGGGGGAUAACGUAGGGAAACUUACGCUAAUACCGCAUACGUCCUACGGGAGAAAGUGGGGGACCGCAAGGCCUCACGCAGAAAGAUGAGCCGACGACCGAUUAGCUAGUUGGUGGGGUAAAGGCCCACCAAGGCGACGAUCGGUAGCUGGUCUGAGAGGAUGAUCAGCCACACUGGGACUGAGACACGGCCCAGACUCCUACGGGAGGCAGCAGUGGGGAAUAUUGGACAAUGGGCGCAAGCCUGAUCCAGCCAUGCCGCGUGUGUGAAGAAGGCCUUCGGGUUGUAAAGCACUUUUGUCCGGAAAGAAAUCCCUUGAGCUAAUACCUUCGGGGGAUGACGGUACCGGAAGAAUAAGCACCGGCUAACUUCGUG